UGCGCAGGCGGAAUGAUAAGUCAGUGGUGAAAUCCUACAGCUCAACUGUAGAACUGCCAUUGAUACUGUUGUUCUUGAGUACAUUUGUAGUGGGCGGAAUGUGUCAUGUAGCGGUGGAAUGCUUAGAGAUGACACAGAACACCGAUCGCGAAGGCAGCUCACUAAACUGUAACUGACGCUGAGGCACGAAAGCGUGGGGAUCAAACAGGAUUAGAUACCCUGGUAGUCC
rnacentral:rRNA from 1 species